CAGCGCCGCGGGAAUACGGAGGGUGCAAGCGUUAUCCGGAUUUAUUGGGUUUAAAGGGUCCGUAGGCGGAUCUGUAAGUCAGUGGUGAAAUCUCACAGCUUAACUGUGAAACUGCCAUUGAUACUGCAGGUCUUGAGUAAAUUUGAAGUGGCUGGAAUAAGUAGUGUAGCGGUGAAAUGCAUAGAUAUUACUUAGAACACCAAUUGCGAAGGCAGGUCACUAAGAUUUAACUGACGCUGAUGGACGAAAGCGUGGGGAGCGAACAGGAUUAGAUACCCCAGUAGUCCCUGUCUCUUAUACC
rnacentral:rRNA from 1 species